rnacentral:rRNA from 1 species
GGUUAAGCGACUAAGCGUACACGGUGGAUGCCCUGGCAGUCAGAGGCGAUGAAGGACGUGCUAAUCUGCGAUAAGCGUCGGUAAGGUGAUAUGAACCGUUAUAACCGGCGAUUUCCGAAUGGGGAAACCCAGUGUGUUUCGACACACUAUCAUUAACUGAAUCCAUAGGUUAAUGAGGCGAACCGGGGGAACUGAAACAUCUAAGUACCCCGAGGAAAAGAAAUCAACCGAGAUUCCCCCAGUAGCGGCGAGCGAACGGGGAGCAGCCCAGAGCCUGAAUCAGUGUGUGUGUUAGUGGAAGCGUCUGGAAAGGCGCGCGAUACAGGGUGACAGCCCCGUACACAAAAAUGCACAUGCUGUGAGCUCGAUGAGUAGGGCGGGACACGUGGUAUCCUGUCUGAAUAUGGGGGGACCAUCCUCCAAGGCUAAAUACUCCUGACUGACCGAUAGUGAACCAGUACCGUGAGGGAAAGGCGAAAAGAACCCCGGCGAGGGGAGUGAAAAAGAACCUGAAACCGUGUACGUACAAGCAGUGGGAGCACAGAGCAAUCUGUGUGACUGCGUACCUUUUGUAUAAUGGGUCAGCGACUUAUAUUCUGUAGCAAGGUUAACCGAAUAGGGGAGCCGAAGGGAAACCGAGUCUUAACUGGGCGUUAAGUUGCAGGGUAUAGACCCGAAACCCGGUGAUCUAGCCAUGGGCAGGUUGAAGGUUGGGUAACACUAACUGGAGGACCGAACCGACUAAUGUUGAAAAAUUAGCGGAUGACUUGUGGCUGGGGGUGAAAGGCCAAUCAAACCGGGAGAUAGCUGGUUCUCCCCGAAAGCUAUUUAGGUAGCGCCUCGUGAAUUCAUCUCCGGGGGUAGAGCACUGUUUCGGCAAGGGGGUCAUCCCGACUUACCAACCCGAUGCAAACUGCGAAUACCGGAGAAUGUUAUCACGGGAGACACACGGCGGGUGCUAACGUCCGUCGUGAAGAGGGAAACAACCCAGACCGCCAGCUAAGGUCCCAAAGUCAUGGUUAAGUGGGAAACGAUGUGGGAAGGCCCAGACAGCCAGGAUGUUGGCUUAGAAGCAGCCAUCAUUUAAAGAAAGCGUAAUAGCUCACUGGUCGAGUCGGCCUGCGCGGAAGAUGUAACGGGGCUAAACCAUGCACCGAAGCUGCGGCAGCGACGCUUAUGCGUUGUUGGGUAGGGGAGCGUUCUGUAAGCCUGUGAAGGUGUGCUGUGAGGCAUGCUGGAGGUAUCAGAAGUGCGAAUGCUGACAUAAGUAACGAUAAAGCGGGUGAAAAGCCCGCUCGCCGGAAGACCAAGGGUUCCUGUCCAACGUUAAUCGGGGCAGGGUGAGUCGACCCCUAAGGCGAGGCCGAAAGGCGUAGUCGAUGGGAAACAGGUUAAUAUUCCUGUACUUGGUGUUACUGCGAAGGGGGGACGGAGAAGGCUAUGUUGGCCGGGCGACGGUUGUCCCGGUUUAAGCGUGUAGGCUGGUUUUCCAGGCAAAUCCGGAAAAUCAAGGCUGAGGCGUGAUGACGAGGCACUACGGUGCUGAAGCAACAAAUGCCCUGCUUCCAGGAAAAGCCUCUAAGCAUCAGGUAACAUCAAAUCGUACCCCAAACCGACACAGGUGGUCAGGUAGAGAAUACCAAGGCGCUUGAGAGAACUCGGGUGAAGGAACUAGGCAAAAUGGUGCCGUAACUUCGGGAGAAGGCACGCUGAUAUGUAGGUGAGGUCCCUCGCGGAUGGAGCUGAAAUCAGUCGAAGAUACCAGCUGGCUGCAACUGUUUAUUAAAAACACAGCACUGUGCAAACACGAAAGUGGACGUAUACGGUGUGACGCCUGCCCGGUGCCGGAAGGUUAAUUGAUGGGGUUAGCGGUAACGCGAAGCUCUUGAUCGAAGCCCCGGUAAACGGCGGCCGUAACUAUAACGGUCCUAAGGUAGCGAAAUUCCUUGUCGGGUAAGUUCCGACCUGCACGAAUGGCGUAAUGAUGGCCAGGCUGUCUCCACCCGAGACUCAGUGAAAUUGAACUCGCUGUGAAGAUGCAGUGUACCCGCGGCAAGACGGAAAGACCCCGUGAACCUUUACUAUAGCUUGACACUGAACAUUGAGCCUUGAUGUGUAGGAUAGGUGGGAGGCUUAGAAGUGUGGACGCCAGUCUGCAUGGAGCCGACCUUGAAAUACCACCCUUUAAUGUUUGAUGUUCUAACGUUGACCCGUAAUCCGGGUUGCGGACAGUGUCUGGUGGGUAGUUUGACUGGGGCGGUCUCCUCCUAAAGAGUAACGGAGGAGCACGAAGGUUGGCUAAUCCUGGUCGGACAUCAGGAGGUUAGUGCAAUGGCAUAAGCCAGCUUGACUGCGAGCGUGACGGCGCGAGCAGGUGCGAAAGCAGGUCAUAGUGAUCCGGUGGUUCUGAAUGGAAGGGCCAUCGCUCAACGGAUAAAAGGUACUCCGGGGAUAACAGGCUGAUACCGCCCAAGAGUUCAUAUCGACGGCGGUGUUUGGCACCUCGAUGUCGGCUCAUCACAUCCUGGGGCUGAAGUAGGUCCCAAGGGUAUGGCUGUUCGCCAUUUAAAGUGGUACGCGAGCUGGGUUUAGAACGUCGUGAGACAGUUCGGUCCCUAUCUGCCGUGGGCGCUGGAGAACUGAGGGGGGCUGCUCCUAGUACGAGAGGACCGGAGUGGACGCAUCACUGGUGUUCGGGUUGUCAUGCCAAUGGCACUGCCCGGUAGCUAAAUGCGGAAGAGAUAAGUGCUGAAAGCAUCUAAGCACGAAACUUGCCCCGAGAUGAGUUCUCCCUGACUCCUUGAGAGUCCUGAAGGAACGUUGAAGACGACGACGUUGAUAGGCCGGGUGUGUAAGCGCAGCGAUGCGUUGAGCUAACCGGUACUAAUGAACCGUGAGGCUUAACCUU